rnacentral:rRNA from 1 species
GACAGAGGGUGCAAACGUUGCUCGGAAUUACUGGGCGUAAAGCGCGUGUAGGUGGAUUGGUGUGUCAGAUGUGAAAUCCCUGGGCUCAACCCAGGAACUGCACCUGAAACUACCAGUCUUGAGUGGUGGAGAGGGAAGUGGAAUUCCUGGUGUAGAGGUGAAAUUCGUAGAUAUCAGGAGGAACACCGGUGGCGAAGGCGGUUCUCUGGGCAUUACCUGACGCUGAGGAGCGAAAGUGUGGGGAGCGAACAGG